rnacentral:rRNA from 1 species
UACGUAGGGGGCAAGCGUUGUUCGGAAUUACUGGGCGUAAAGGGCGCGUAGGCGGUACAGCAAGUCGGGAGUGAAAGCCCGGGGCUCAACCCCGGAAUGGCUUUCGAAACUGCUGAACUAGAGUGCGGAGGGGGCAACUGGAAUUCCCAGUGUAGCGGUGAAAUGCGUAGAUAUUGGGAAGAACACCUGAGGCGAAGGCGGGUUGCUGGGCCGACACUGACGCUGAGGCGCGAAAGCUAGGGGAGCAAACAGG